rnacentral:rRNA from 1 species
GACGAACGCUGGCGGCGUGCCUAAUACAUGCAAGUAGAACGCACAGUUUAUACCGUAGCUUGCUACACCAUAGACUGUGAGUUGCGAACGGGUGAGUAACGCGUAGGUAACCUGCCUGGUAGCGGGGGAUAACUAUUGGAAACGAUAGCUAAUACCGCAUAAUAUUAAUUAUUGCAUGAUAAUUAAUUGAAAGGUGCAAUUGCACCACUACCAGAUGGACCUGCGUUGUAUUAGCUAGUAGGUGAGGUAACGGCUCACCUAGGCGACGAUACAUAGCCGACCUGCGAGGGUGAUCGGCCACACUGGGACUGAGACACGGCCCAGACUCCUACGGGAGGCAGCAGUAGGGAAUCUUCGGCAAUGGACGAAAGUCUGACCGAGCAACGCCGCGUGAGGGAAGAAGGUUUUCGGAUCGUAAAGCUCUGUUGUAAGAGAAGAACGGGUGUGAGAGUGGAAAGUUCACACUGUGACGGUAGCUGAACAGAAAGGGACGGCUAACUACGUG